ensembl:lncRNA
GCCCACCGGCUCCCGAUCCCCCCCCCAUCCCGGCCGCGCGCCCUCUCGCCAGCCCUGAGGCCAGGCGGGGGCUGCGCUGGGGGUCCCCGGCCCGAGCCCGCGCCGCACCGCGCUCACCCCCCAGAGGAUGCUGGCUGCAACUUGGAUCUGGGGAGGGAAGGUCCUAGAAGCCAAGCGCCUCCCGGCUAUUUGCUCUUCUUUAUUUGUUUUCUCCUCCCGGAAAGGAGGAGGAAAGCGCAGAGAAAAGGAAAGGGAAGGACGGAAGCGGCGCGGGCCGCUGCUCCGGUGCCCUCCGGCUGCGCAGGAGCGAGGCGGGAGGCGAGAUACUUCUCACUACAAAUCGGCUCUCUCCAGGGAUUAGCGGCUACGCGAAAGUGCAUACUGGCGCUGCGGGCAAUCGAGGGGGCCGGGCAAGGCAGGCACUCCCCAGCCCAGCCCCAUGCCACCCGGGAGGCGCGGGGGUCCCGAGGCCGGUGCGGUGAUUCCACCCGCCCUAGCCUUCCUCCUCCGCCCCUUCCACGUGGGGCCCGCCACGUGGGGAGACGCGAGCUCCAGCGGGCCUGGCCGCGGUCCCCCGGGUGGCCCCGGCUCGGUAGGGCCCCACCACGCCCGCGCAGCAGACCUGCCCUCUACUCGGCCCCGAGGCUCCAACUUCCUCCUGGGCCCUGCGCAGGCCACCGGUGCCGUCCCAGGCCCGCGAGGUCAGGCGCGGGCCGGCCACAGGGGGCACUUGCGUUCCCCGAUCCCAGAUCCGGGAGACCGUGCCGGCUGCGGGUGCGCGCGGAGACUGUUCUGUGUGCUGGAACUUGCCGCGGUGUGUUCGCUAUGAGAAGCCAAGUGUUUUUACAUAUUUUUUUAAAAAAAAUGUCUUUCUACUGUCUGUAUGUCGCUGGGGCUAUUUUGAAAGCCUUGCCUUGGGUCGGAUCCCCAGCAUGAGGCCUUGGGGGUCCGAGGGUCGCUUGCGCGGUGCCCUUUCACGAGUCCACUAGUGUCUCGGUGUUCUGCGUUUGGAAUCUGGACUCCCAACGAUGAUGGGCCACUUCGGCUGCGCGGGACUAGACAGCAUCUGGGCUGGAUUCCUUGGCCAUGACCUGCGACAUCCGAGCGCUGUCCCCGGAAGGGAGCCAGCUCCUUCGCCCAGGGCCUCCUAAGCUUACUAACCAGACUAGGUGGGAGGCUUCUAAGGACCACAGGGGCGCUGAGUAGUGCCCUUGGGUGCAAUUGUUUUUAAAUCUUUUGUGGGUGCUAGCGACUUGAGAUGUUGGGCUGAAUGAUCGAGAGGAGGGGUCUAAUGUCACAGCUUUGAAGGCCACAGAGAGUGCCAUUCAGAGAGCCACUUUGAGUGGUGUGGCCUUCUACAGACUGAAGAAAUUUAUAGCGUAUAUGGGCCGCUUGAGGCCUCCAAGCCCCUGGACCCAUCGCUGUGCGUUCUGGAGAGCACUUUAUCUGGGCCUGUUUGCUAAAGUGCACAGAUGUUGCCCGCAAGACCGGCGAUGUUGGGUUUCUAUGAUCGUUUUGUAGUCAAACUGGUUUUAAAAUAGUUUACAGAUUUUUCUGAAUGGCAACGCGGUAACGGUCUCUCUCAAAUAUAAUAUGAUAGUUUUUACGUGGCCCUAAUAGGCUUGGGGCUGAUCAGUCAUGAAGUAGCUCACCAUCCUGAUUUCUGUGAGAGAAUUCACAGGUGUGCACCUACCCUUGACCCCUCCAUCUUCUUUGUAUUCUUACGGAUUCCUCUAAAGGAAUCCAGCAGCUUCACUUCAAGGUCGUGGGGCCCUAGACCUACUUGUAAACUGACCUUGUCAUACCUCAGGCUCCUGUGCUACCAGUUCCUGCUUUGUGAGUUCCUUGAUCCUAAACUAUGGUAAUGAAAGCUCCUGCUUCUUUGUGUCUCAUAUCUUUGCCCUUUGUGGUCCUCUAUUACCAAGAAACCACAGCCAGCUGGCUUUUCCUAUUGCUUGUUCAGCUUUCCUCCAGUGUAAUUUUGAAUUCUACUUUAGAAAUACUAUGGUGGGCCCUGUGGAGUGGCUCAGCCAGCAAUGAUGCUGUCAAGCCCCAGGAUGUGAGUUCAUUCCCUAACACCUAGUAAAAGUAAGAGUGGACUAAGUUGUCCUCAGAUCCCUGCACAUGUUUCACACAUCACACAACCAAUAAGAAAAAAACUAACCUUUUAUGAAUUCAGAACUUUAAAUUAUUUCGAACUUCUGUCUGACAGCCUGCAUUUUAAAGUAUGGAGCCCAGGCUGGUGGAAGUAGUGCAGAGAGCAGAACACUGGCUUAUAUGAGGUCCGAGGUUCAUCCCUUGCUCCUGGGGACAGAGGAAUCUCAACCCAGGUGAUGUUACACAGGUAAUACUUUGGGGCUGACAAGAUGGCUCAGUAAGGUGUAAAGCACCUUCCCCCAAGCCUGACAACCUAGAAAGAGCAAACUGACUCCCUCAGGCUGUCCUCUUGUGGCCAUACAUGUAUCAUGGAUGGCAUGCCCACCACACCAAGCAAUAUAAAAAUGUACUAACAUUUUUAAGACAUGUAGGUCUGGGACUGGAGAGAGAACUCAGAGGUUAAUAGUAUUGGCUGUUCUUCCAGAGGACCCAUUUUUAAUUCCCAGCAACCCACAUGACAGCUCACACCUAUCUGCAACUCCACUUCCAGGUCUUCUGACACCCCCAUACCGGCAUACAUGCAGGCAAAACACCAAUGAACAUAAAAUAAGCCUUUAAUCCCAGCACUCAAGAGGCAGAGACAAUUGGAUCUCUGCGAGUUUGAGGCCAGCCUGGUCUGCAGAACAAGUUCCAGAACAGUCUCCAAAGCUACAGAGAAAUGAUGUCUCGAAGAACCAAAAAUAAAUAAAUAAAUAUUAAAAAAAUAAAUGUAAAUCCAGUUAUCAUCAGCAUGUGAAUUAGUUCAGAUACCAGUUUUUAAAAGAUGUUCAAUAUAAACAAGAAACAAAAACCCAGUGCUGGAGAGAUGGCUCAAAAGUUAAAGCACUUGUUGCUCUUCUGGAGGACCUGAUUUCAGUUUCCAGUAACCACAUGGCAUGGCUUAUAACCUCCUGUAACUCCUGCUCUAAGGAAUCUGAUAAUCUCUUCUGAUCUACAAGGGUACCCAUGUGCCUGUAUAUAUACACACUCAAAUAAAAAUCUUUAAGAGUAAGAGCGGGCAUUGGUGGCACAUGCCUUUAAUCCCAGCCCUCGGGAGGCAGAGGCAGGUGGAUCUCUGAGUUCAAGACCAGCCUGGUCUACAAGAGCUAGUUCCAGUACAGCCUCCAAAAGAAGCCACAGAGAAACCCUGUCUCCAAAAACAAACAAAAAACAACAAAAAAACCCUUUAAAUAUUAAGUAAUUAUUUAUUUAUGUAUCUAAUUUUUUAAUGUUAGUAUUUUGGCCUGUGUGUAUGUCUGUGUGAGGGAGUCAGAUUCACUGGAACUUGAGUUACAGAUAGUUGUGAGCUGCCCUGUGGGUGCUGGGAAUUAAAUCAGGGUCCUUUGGAAGAGCAGCCAAUACUCCUAACUUCGGAGCCAUCUCUAGCCCCCUUUAAAAUUUAAAAAUAUAAACAGACUCUAAUAGAUACUUCUCUGAGGAUGAUGUUCAAAUGGCCAAUAAGCAUGCUCUCAAACUGCUCAGCCUCAGUCAUUAGGGAAAUACAAAUGAAAAACCA